rnacentral:lncRNA from 1 species
UUUACCUUGCAGGCUCCAAACUCCAGCUCAGAACAAUGUGGCUUAAAGGCUGAGUUUUUUCACUCCAAAUGAGGAGCUCCAGUUGACAAGUAUCUCCAGUCUGCAGUCGCACCGUACACUGGCCCCAACCCAGGCAUCCAGACUUUUGGCUUUGGCCAGUACCGAGGCCUUCGGACUGAUUCCCCCACGAAACCCGUAUUAUUUGUGCGUUCAGGUCACAAGCAUCUGUGUGAGGAGUGUUUGAGUGGAAUCACUGCCCUCCAGGAGGCUAAGAGAUGCCAAGAACCUUAACUCGCGGGGACUGCUGCACACUUAAAAGCUCUGCUCUCCCAACAGGGCUUGCGAACAACUGGCGCUCGCGAGCCACAAGGAGGCUACGUUUUUCUCCCGUUGCUCGCUAGGGCAGUGCACUGGAAAUUGCAGAGCCUGUGUUCCGGGAGCAAGGCGGGAAAAUGAAGCUCCAGGUGGAGGAAGCCAAGAGGAAGAAAUUUACGCUUCCUGGGAAAAGUGAACCCGUGCGCAACUGGCGCGCCGCGGUCCAUCUUUAGCUUCUGCGAGAAGCUGGAAACAGAAGAGACGCCUUUGCAGGGGGACAAACAGAAGGAUGCGGGUUGUAGGUGGCAACUAAGGGUCGGUGUGUAGAGUUAAGGGCGGUGUUCCGUCUCUUUACAUCCCUCCUAGCUGGGUUUCCCACCUUUCCUGCCCAACUCGGUUUCCUAGCAGGUCUCAUACUGCAAGUCUAGUGAAACGCUGUUGAGAGCCUGUACUAGGUGCAGAAAGACACUCCCUUCGGUGACCACCAGACCAACCAGACUUGAAGGCAGACGG